UACGUAGGUGGCAAGCGUUGUCCGGAUUUACUGGGCGUAAAGAGCGCGCAGGCGGCCGAGUAAGUCGAAUGUGAAAGCCCCCGGCUCAACUGGGGAAGGUCAUUCGAUACUGUUCGGCUUGAAGAUAGGAGAGGGAAGCGGAAUUUCAGGUGUAGUGGUGAAAUGCGUAGAUAUCUGAAGGAACACCAGUGGCGAAGGCGGCUUUCUGGCCUAUUCUUGACGCUGAGGCGCGAAAGCGUGGGUAGCGAACAGG
rnacentral:rRNA from 1 species